CCUCACUGGCCCCCGAGUCGCGCGCGCUCUCUCGACGGACACCCCCACCACCGCCAGCACAGGAGGGGGCUGGAGGGCUGGAAGCGUCCCGGGCCCGGGGCCGGUUUUGUGGCCUCACCUCGGGGCGGGUACCCAGGUAGCUGGAAAGUCAAGAAGUCUGUCCCUCCCGCUUCCAGUGGACGACCCUCACACCCUGUCAGAAAAGUUGUCUCGGUUGCCUGGCCUCAGGUGUCUCCCCAGGUUUGCCUUCGUUACCUGGCGCCCCAGCCUUGACCGGAAAGAGCGCGGAAGGGAGAGACAAGAAACUGAGUCCUAAUGAAACUGGCCCAAUACCCCGCCGGUAGUAAAUGGCAGAGUCGAGAUUUCAACCCAUACCACCAACUAACUACAGGACUAUAUUCUCCUGUGGGCUUGAAUCCCCUCCGUGGGAAGUCAGCUAUUGAAGGUGGAAUUGAUUUUUGGAAACAGCCUAAUGAAGGCCUCAGCUCCUCUCCCAUCCCAGCCAUCACCACGUCCCUCAGCCAAACCGACUGCCCUCCUCUACUCACAGCGGAAGUCGUGAUAGAACUUGAGUGGGGGCAUGUUCCUCUCUACUGCCACAUUACCCCAUGGAAGCCCCAAGUGCAAGAUCUGACGCCGCCGGGAGCAAGGCUGACCACUCUGCUCAGUGCCCACAAGUCGACCCAUCAGCCGCCAGUCACGUAUCUCGAACAGUUGAGUUUCACAACAGACUCAGAAGACUGGGAAAUGCUCUUCAGCCUAGAGAAAAACCAACCUGACUCCACCUCCCCCCACAGAAGCAUUACCUCCAGAGAGCGGAUGCUGCUGUGAUAGGUAA